AUUGAACGCUGGCGGCAGGCCUAACACAUGCAAGUCGAACGGUAACAGGAUACAACUUGCUGCUUCGCUGACGAGUGUCGGACGGGUGAGUAAUGUCUGGGAGACUCCCUGUUUUAGUGGGGUAACUACUGGAAACGGUAGCGCAUACCCCAUAACGUCGCUAGACCAAAGAGGGGGACCUUAUGGCCUCUUGCGCUCUUAUGUGCCCAGAUGGGAGUAGCUAGUAGGGGGGGUAAAGGCCCACCCAGGCGACGAUCCCUAGCUGGUCUGAGAGGAUGAGCAGCCACACUGGAACUGAGACACGGUCCAGACUCCUACGGGAGGCAGCAGUGGGGAAUAUUGGACAAUGGGCGCAAGCCUGAUGCAGCCAUACCGCGUGUAUGAAGAAGGCCUUCGGGUUGUAAAGUACUUUCAGCGGGAAGGAAGAUAGUCAAGUUAAUACCUCUCUGUACUGACGUUACCCGAAGAAGAAGCACCGGCUAACUCCGUG
rnacentral:rRNA from 1 species